UACGGAGGAUCCAAGCGUUAUCCGGAUUUAUUAGAUUUAAAGGGUGCGUAGGCGGCCUAUUAAGUCAGGGGUGAAAGACGGUAGCUUAACUAUCGCAGUGCCUUUGAUACUGAUGGGCUUGAAUGUACUUGAGGUAGGCGGAAUGUGACAAGUAGCGGUGAAAUGCAUAGAUAUGUCACAGAACACCAAUUGCGAAGGCAGCUUACUAAAGUAUGAUUGACGCUGAGGCACGAAAGCGUGGGGAUCAAACAGG
rnacentral:rRNA from 1 species